rnacentral:rRNA from 1 species
AUUGAACGCUGGCGGCAGGCCUAACACAUGCAGGUCGAGCGGGUGAAGGGAGCUUGCUCCUGGAUUCAGCGGCGGACGGGUGAGUAAUGCCUAGGAAUCUGCCUGGUAGUGGGGGAUAACGUCCGGAAACGGGCGCUAAUACCGCAUACGUCCUGAGGGAGAAAGUGGGGGAGCUUCGGACCUCACGCUAUCAGAUGAGCCUAGGUCGGAUUAGCUAGUUGGUGGGGUAAAGGCCUACCAAGGCGACGAUCCGUAACUGGUCUGAGAGGAUGAUCAGUCAGACUGGAACUGAGACACGGCCACGACUCCUACGGGAGGCCGCAGUGGGGAAUAUUGGACAAUGCGCGAAUGCCUGAUCUUGCCCUGCCGCGUGUGUGAAGAACGUCUUCGGCUUGUAAAGCACUUAAAGUUGGGAGGAAGGGCAGUAAGUUAAUCCCUUGCUGUUUUGACGUUACCAACAGAAUAAGCACCGGCUAACUCCGUG